UCUUAUAAACGGCUGUUAUAACAUUAAAGUAGCGNAAUAAUUUGUUCCUUCAUUGGGGACUUGUAUGAAAGGCAGAGNGGAAAUUUACUGUUUCUUUCGAAUUCUAAAAAAUUUCUAUUUAAGUGAAAAAGCUUAAAUUCACUAAAAGGACGAGAAGACCCUAUAGAAUUUAAUAGCAUAGGUUUUUUAUAAAUUUAUCUAUUUUGUUGGGGCAACAGGGGAGAAAAAACUNCANGUCUAUACAAUUUAAUAAUCAUAAAUAAAAUUUAUUGAUCCUAAAAUAGAACAAAGAAAAAUUACCUUAGGGAUAACAGCGUANUAUCUCCCAGAGAGACCUAAUUGAAGGGAGAGUUUGCGACCUCGAUGUUGGACUAAGAUAGCUUUCAAAUGCAGCAGUUUGAAAUAGUAAGCCUGUCCGGCUUUUAAAAUCUUACGUGAUCUGAGU
rnacentral:rRNA from 1 species